CAAAGAGUGCGUAAUAGCUCACUAGUCGAGUGAUGUUGCGCGGAAAAUUCAACGGGGCUAAGCAUACAACCGAAGCUUGGGCAGUAGUGAUACUGGGUAGGGGAGCGUUCUGUACGGGCAGAAGCAUCAGCGGAAGCAGAUGUGGACUGUACAGAAGUGAGAAUGCCGGAAUGAGUAGCGAGAAUUGUGUGAGAAUCAUAAUGGCCGAAAAUCUAAGGUUUCCGGGGGUAGGGUCGUCCACCCCGGGUUAGCCGGGAGCUAAGGCGAGGCCGCGAGGCGUAGUCGAUGCACAAACGGUAGAGAUUCCGUUGCCGCCAGAUCUUAAGUAACUGACACGAGGGUAGAGUUCAACCCGGUCGAUGGUAGAGCCGGGCGAAAGGGACUGAAGAAUAGUAGGGAAGUGAACGAAGCCAGCGGCGAGAAAAGGUUAUGUAUGAAAUCAGGCGCCCGUACCGCAAACCGACACAGGUAGAUGAGGAGAGGAUCCUAAGGCCAGCGGGAGAAGGGUUGUUAAGGAACUCGGCAUAUUGACCCCGUAACUUCGGAAGAAGGGGUGCCUCCGUAAGGAGGCCGCAGUGAAAAGGCCCAGGCAACUGUUUAUCAAAAACACAGGUUUCUGCAAAAGCGAAAGCUGAAGUAUAGGAGCUGACGCCUGCCCGGUGCUGGAAGGUCAAGGGGAUCGCUUAGCGCAAGCGAAGGCGAGAACUUAAGCCCCAGUAAACGGCGGCCGUAACUAUAACGGUCCUAAGGUAGCGAAAUUCCUUGCCAGGUAAGUUCUGGCCUGCACGAAUGGCGUAAUGAUCUGGGCACUGUCUCAACAGCCCGCCCGGCGAAAUUGUAGUACCGGUGAAGAUGCCGGUUUCCUGCGACUAGACGGAGAGACCCCAUGGAGCUUUACUGUAGUUUGAUACUGAAAUUUGGUUCAUUAUGCACAGGAUAGGUGGGAGACAGAGAAACCCGGGCUUUGGCUUGGGCGGAGUCGCCGUUGGGAUACCACUCUUGAUGAACCAAGUUUCUAACCUGCUCCCGUGAUCCGGGAGGGGGACAAUGUCAGAUGGGCAGUUUGACUGGGGCGGUCGCCUCCAAAAGAGUAACGGAGGCGUUCAAAGGUUGGCUCAGCGCGGACGGAAAUCGCGCAAUGAGUAUAAACGUAUAAGCCAGCCUAACUGUGAGACCUACAAGUCGAGCAGUAACGAAAGUUGGAGUUAGUG
rnacentral:rRNA from 1 species